ACGAACGCUGGCGGCGUGCUUAACCUCUGCAAGUCGAACGGAAAGGCCCUGCUUUUGUGGGGUGCUCGAGUGGCGAACGGGUGAGUAACACGUGAGUAACCUGCCCUUGACUUUGGGAUAACUUCAGGAAACUGGGGCUAAUACCGGAUAGGAGCUCCUGCUGCAUGGUGGGGGUUGGAAAGUUUCGGCGGUUGGGGAUGGACUCGCGGCUUAUCAGCUUGUUGGUGGGGUAGUGGCUUACCAAGGCUUUGACGGGUAGCCGGCCUGAGAGGGUGACCGGCCACAUUGGGACUGAGAUACGGCCCAGACUCCUACGGGAGGCAGCAGUGGGGAAUAUUGCACAAUGGGCGGAAGCCUGAUGCAGCAACGCCGCGUGCGGGAUGACGGCCUUCGGGUUGUAAACCGCUUUCGCCUGUGACGAAGCGUGAGUGACGGUAAUGGGUAAAGAAGCACCGGCUAACUACGUG
rnacentral:rRNA from 1 species